CUUAACCUUAUAAAUCACAAAGCCAUAGGGAUUCAUUUUCUUCUUCUUCUUCGUCUUCAGCCAUUGAUAAUAUUCGAUUCUUACAUCUGUGUAGCAUCAUCAAGAUUCACAAGCAGAUUGAAGGCGUGAUGAAUAUAUAGAUACAGAUAGAUACAGACAAUGACGAUGGCUUUACGUCAUCAUGCACCAAAAGCCUAGCCUGAGAAUCUUGAUGAUGCUGCAUCGGCAAUCAACGGCUACAAACUCACGGUAGAAUUCAAUCGACGGUCAGAUUUCCAUCUCAGGAUAUACAGAUCAGAUCGUCAUCUAUCCAUGAUGUCGUCAGGCCGACAGUACCACUGAGGGAACUUAACUCUGCAAAUGAAUUUCAUUGGUAAGAGAAUUUUCUUUCUGUGAUUAUUCUCCUACACAAUGAAGAAACCCCUUUUUUUUUCUAUUUAUGUUUUUUUAAUUUGUGAAUGAGAAUAUUCACAAAGUGGUUUAGAUUAUUUUAGGCAAAAUUGUUUAUAAUUUAUUUGUGAUUUGGAUAAUUAAUUUGUAAUUUUUGAUAUGAUUUAAAAAUUGUAUGAGAUUUUUUUUGUAUU